rnacentral:misc_RNA from 1 species
GAUGAAGAACGCAGCGAAAUGCGAUAAGUAAUGUGAAUUGCAGAAUUCCGUGAAUCAUCGAGUCUUUGAACGCACAUUGCGCCCCCUGGUAUUACGGGGGGCAUGCCUGUCCGAGCGUCAUUGCUGCCCUCAAGCACGGCUUGUGUGUUGGGCCUCCGUCCUCCUCCCGGGGGACGGGCCCGAAAGGCAGCGGCGGCACCGCGUCCGGUCCUCGAGCGUAUGGGGCUUCGUCACCCGCUCUUGUAGGCCCGGCCGGCGCUUGCCGACACAUCAAUCUUUUUUCCAGGUUGACCUCGGAUCAGGUAGGGAUACCCGCUGAACUUAAGCAUAUCAAUAAGCGGAGGA